CCCACAAAUUAAGUUAUUAGUAUUUUAUAAAAAUCGAGACGCCCUUAAAAGGUGAUGUGAUAAAAUGGUAUGUAGCCUUAAUUUAAAUUAUGCAAUCUCCUUUUCAUAUUUAAGGAUUAUUUUCCAAAUAGAACUAUAGAAGCGGUCAUUUUCCAAUAUUUUAUGCAUGGCAAGUAAUAUUAGAUAUAUUUACUUUUCUAUAGCCUCUAUAAAUUGGGUAUGAGAGAUGGUGUAAACCGCAUCAUUUACUUUUCAUUCCUUUCAUUGGAAUAAAUGAGGAAUUGGAGAAGAAGGAAGAGUGAGAUGGGCUAUGCCUGGCUCCCUGUAUGCCACGCGUCCACGUCGAUCCCACGAGGGAUCGGCGGAGGCGGGCGGCAUACGAGGAGCCAAGCAUGCUGUCAACCGCCGUCCACACUCUCUCCAUCUUCUUCUCCUCCUCACCGCCGCCGCGGCAGUCAACUUCACGGAGUUUACUUCUCAUGUGAAAAUGGAAAAUAAAAAUAACAACUUUAAAUCAAACUGCACUCAAAGUGAGCACGAGAUCUUGCCAUUGGAAAAGUCUUCAUUUCUCACAUGCAAUUGGGCCAUUCAAUCCACCACAGAAUUCUAGGACUAAUUUACAUUGAUAUUUUAUCGUCUUUACAAUUUGUUAAGAUUAUUUUCACAUGCGAAGUUGAUGUAUUAUUUCCCCUCAUGGUGUAUUAUAGAUUUCAUAUCUUAUCAUUACUUUAAAUAUUUCGUGGUAAUUAAUUUAACUGUAAGUUAUAUUUUCGAGA